rnacentral:tRNA from 1 species
UGGAGGGGUAGCGAAGUGGCUAAACGCGGGUGGCUGUAACCCACUUCCUUACGGUUCGGGGGUUCGAAUCCCUCCCCCUCCACCAU